CUCUUUCCUUGGUCCAGUCCUUAUGCUCACAGGCAUUCUCCAGUGUUUUGCUAACAAAAAUGAGCAAAUGCUUAACAUCCUUUUGAUGUUUUAACUUCCUCCUUCGUUCUGGAUCCCCAAGGGCAUGCUGGCUGUCAUCUGGAGGCAAUCAGAGAUGGUAAGAAUGCCCGGUAUAAAGAGAAUUGGCAACGGUAACUCCCUGUAGCAAGGUGGGUUCCCUGACAGAAGAGGAAAAGGAGGGAGAGCUGCAUUUGCUGGUCUAUUGCGCUUUGCUUAGAGAUCAACAGAGUGACAUCCUAGGGUCUGAGCCUCAACCCUCCAGGCCGCAAGCCUCCCACUUCCACUCCACCAACCUUGACUUGUGGAACAUGCAUCCUCCUGGGGAUAAACCUCUACCAAGAUGUUCUUGUAAGAGUGGCUGCAAGUGCCUGCAUCAGAACCUCAGGAAAGCUGAUAAAGUUGAAGAGUCCUUGCUUUCCUCACUUGGGAGGGGGUGCUGCUGCUGGCAUUUAAGAUGAUUCUGAUUCAUGCUACAGUCUGACAACCUACAAAGCUGCAUGGAAGAAAACUCUCUUCCACAUGGCCUGGAGAGACCUAAGCAUCCACGUGCUCACUGCUCUCAGUGCUCAGAGAAGAGAACACCUGGGAAAUUGUCUUUGAAUUAUAUAGAACAAGUUGUCCACUAAAUGAAUAACAUCUGGAAGCAUUCCAACCUGGUAAAGCCCCUUGAGUGUUGCCUAUGAUGUGGGUGCAUCUGAUUCCAGGUCAUAUGUGCAAUGCUCUGCUGCAGACACUUUAGCUUUCAGAUUUUGUGGAAUAUUGUUACAGGAACACAGGUCUAUGCAAUGAGGUCUUGUAGCUGCUUCCUAAGCUUUGCACAUCAAUCCAUCAGCUCUAACAUUCUGGACAAUAUUAUUGCUGGCUACAAUAGUACUAUUUAUAAUAGUUCAAAUGAAUCAGAUUGAUUUUCUCCUUGAACACUAGAAUAUUUACUCUGAAUCAUCAAGGGCAAAAGGUCAAUUCCCCUCAAAAAGAUCAUGCAACCCUCUCUAUCAGAGGAUAAACAAUUCUUCAAGUAUUGAGGAAAGAAAAAUGACUUUGGGCCAGGCAUGGUGGCUCACACCUAUAAUCCCAGCACUUUGGGAGGCCGAGGAGGGAGACCUCACUUGAGGUCAGGAGUUCGAGACCAGCCUCGGUAAUAUGGUGAAACCCCAUCUCUACUAAAAACACAAAAAUUAGCUGGGCAUGGUGGCAGGAGCCUGUAAUCCCAGCUAUUUGGGAGGCUGAGGCAGUAGAAUCACUUGAACCCGGGAGGUGGAGGUUGCAGUGAGCCACGAUUGCACUAUUGCACUCCAGCCUGGGUGACAGAGCGAGACUCCAUCUCAAAAAAAAAAAAGAAAAGAAAAAAAAAAGAAAAGUGACUUUGUCCAUUGGGUAGCCAAGCUUUCAUUUUGCUCAGUGACGGAGUCUAGUACUUAAGAUCCAUAUCAUAGCAACACAAAACUUCUAUUGAGGAUGUAGCUUUUCAUAUGCAUCAUUCCCUUCACUUCUCACAUUGGUGUCCACUGAGGCGUAGAGACACGGUACAGGAUACAAAUGGUGAUGCUGGAAAGUGAACCUAAGUCUGUCUGUACAAUCUACACACCUCACCACUGUGUGAUCAGCUAUAGGCUUAAUACUAGUGAGACAGGGAUGCUUACCUGUAUUUGUUCAUUAAUUUGUUCAAUAAAAAGGACUUUGUGUAAGGUUCUA